UUUUUUUCCUUUAGUUAAUUUUUUUUUAAAUUGCUUAUUGACCUCUUUUUAAAUUUUUAGAAGCUUUAGAUGAUGAUUUGAUGUUUAGUAAGUCGCUAUUAUUUUAUUUGUUCAGUAAUUCAAUUUUAGUCGUCUUUAUUUGUUCAUUAAGUCGCCAAUUUUGUUUUUAUUUAUUUGUUAAGUUUUUUCGUUUAUUUGCUUUCCAUAUACUUUACUCUUUGCUUUUAGUUAAACCACAUUUUUUUAAGUUGUCUGUAUUUUUUUUUAUUUUUAAUACUGAACAUAUUUUUAUUUAGUGGUGCAACCACAACAAAAUGCUCAACAACAACCACAUUCUGAACCGCAACAACAACUACAAUCAGGUAAA